AAGUUCGGGCCACAGCCCCACAGGCAGCGUCCCCAUCAGCGUCUCUCCCCAGUUCUACACGGGCACAGCGCGGCUAAUCCCGCAGCACGGCCGGGAGGACCUGUUGAGGCAGCUGAAGCCUCGCAACCCGCUCGCCUGCAGUCCCGAGGGACCGACGGACACUGGUCUCGGUUCUCGGGCACCGCCGCUUCCACUGCUCCCCUCCGCCCGCCACACGUUCCACGCAAAGGGCCCUCGGGCCUGGCCAGGCGGGAGGCGCUGGGACCCGGCGGGAGGAGCUCACAAGACUCCGCGGCUUCGGGGCGCCAGCAGGCCGCGCGCGGUUCUCCGCGGCCUUCCCCCGGGCCUGUUCCUCACGGCUGCCGGAGGCAAGAGGCGCCGGACCGAGGGAAAGCGCCCAGUCCGCAGGCCUCGCCGGCCUGGGGCAGUCCCGAGGCCACCAUCAGCCGCCGCCCGCCACAGAGGCCGCAGCCCCUGCAGCCGUCACGGUGCAGGCCGCGUCACCGCCACGGACGCCUCCGCCCGCCCCGCCGCCCAGCGCCCCGCCGAGCUUUCCCCACCAUUAUGCUCCGCUCCGCCGCCGCCGCCGUCGCCGCCGCGCCCGGCCCUCCCUCCGGAGCCGCCUCCUUCCCGCCGCCCGGCGCCUCUCGGGCCUCAGCCGGCGACGGGCGCGGGGGGCGGGGGGGACGCAGGCCGCCGUCUCCUCCUCCUCCCCGCCAUCUCCUCCCUCCUCCCCGGCUCCCCCCGCUGGCUCGGCGCAGAGGGCUCGGGGCUCGAGGGGCGCCAUGUUGGCGGCGGCUUUCACCACAGAAAAUGCCUCGGCGCGCGCCGGGGCGAAGCCUGGUGAGGCGGCCGGGGCGUCGCGCGCCGGCUGGAGGCCCGGACCGCCGCGCGCACAGUUCGCUCGCUCGCUCGUUCGCUCGCUCGCUCGCUCGCUCACUCACCGCGUCUCCUCAGCCCGACGGCGGCGCAGGGCCUUCGGGGCUGCCGAGGACGCCCUGGGGGAAAGCUGACGCUCCCCACUAA
rnacentral:lncRNA from 1 species